UGUGGCCACCCCGUGGUCGGCCUCGACGAGCACGGCCUCGAUCCGGCCUCAGUAGGAAAAUUGAGCCGAGGAGCGCGGCCUCGAUCGGGACUCGGCAGCUCGGGCGGCGAUGGAGGAGGGGAAAGGAGGGGAGCAGCGGCCAGGUGUCCAGGAGGAACUCGCCUGCCGACUUUGAGAAGAAGAGAUGACAGGUGGAGGUGGGAAAAAUUGCGCUAGGAGGAUGAGGCGUGGGCAUGUUCAACUUAAUUAAUGCGCCUUUUAGCCGUGACUUUUGCCCAAACUUUUGAAAGGAGCGAGCUGAUCUCUCUAUCAGUUCAGGUGGAUGAGCCGUGUCCCGUGUUCUAACGAGUUCAUCUAUGAGGGCGUUGUUCCUUUGUUCUCCCGCUGAAGGUUUGCUCACUUCCUUCUACAUAGAUGCUCCAUUAUUUCUUUUCUUACGUAGUUCUGUUUUGUGGAAUGGCAAACGCUAAAUUCUGCAAUGGUACUUUCUGUCCUAUGCUUAUGGUCAAGCAUUGUGUUAGAUUUUUCCUCUGGUUUUCUAAACAUGAAGUGUACAGAUCUGAGGAUGAAGAGAAUAAGAAUUUAGCUAAAGAGGUGAAGAAGAUCAAGGUGGUUUUACUCCCUCUUUUGAACAUUUGUUCUUGCAUUUUGAUGCUAUAAUUUGUUUCGCUUAAAUAGUUACAGAUGUUUGCACUUAUAAGAUCUUUGCUACUAGGUACAAAGGUUAUAGUUAUUGAAAUUAGGUAAAAGAGAGUUGUAGGUUCGAUUUUCAAUUACGGUAGUUGAUGUGUUAUGUUUGCUGCAAUGUGUCACAUGUGUUUGAGAGAGAGAGGGAUGGAAAAGAGGUGACUGUAACAGGUGGAGAAGAAAUUUAUUUGUUGAUUCUCCAAUCUGAUAGAAAUAGUCUCACGAAUGUUUAUUUACUUAGUGACCACACAUUGAUAUCUUCUUAUGUUGGUAUGUUUGUAUUCAGAAAUUGAAUUUACUUCUUUUUGCUUUUGUGUACCCAUUGGAAUCGAGAAGUUGGCAUGAUGGACAUGUCGGUAGACAUGCUAAACAAGUGGCUGGAGUCGGACAGUGCUACUAACGACGGCCUUGAGAUGCACUUUGUCGUUGGAUAUGAGGAGUAUUAUAUUCUUACCGAAGAGAAGUCAAUACCAGCCAUGUUAUACUUUCAGUGUGUUUGUUGGUUCCAUUUACAUACUUUCUCCAGCUCCCUUGAAAUCUCCCGGGAUUUAAUAAUGAGUUGUCUUGGGCUUCAUUGGACAAAUGAUCUACCUGGAGCAAUGAUACAAUCUAGGUUGGUAUUGAAGCCUGAUGGCGUUUUUCUUGCAACAAAUCUUGGCGGGGAGACUCUGAAGUGAUUAUGUCAAAUUUACCAUUUAUCGAAAUUUCCCAGUUUCUUGUUUGACUUGCCUUUUUUGGAUGCGAUGAUAAGGGAACUAAGAAUUGCGUGCACUAUUGCUCAAAUGGAACAUGAGAGAGGCAUCAGUCCUCAAAUGUCUCCUUUAGCACAAGUUUGAUUCCUUUAUAAUCCACGAUUUUACCCUUAAAGGAGUCGAUGUAGAUUGAUAUACAGUCAAGUACAAUAGUGGCGUGUAUCAAUAAACUUGAAUUUUCCUGGGUUUGAACUAAUAAAUCUAGACUAUGGAGGCGGGGGCGCCCAGCGGAGAGCAUAAAUCAGCUUUUUGCUUGAUCCCCUGCUCCAUCAUGGUGGAGUCUUCGAGCAGCUGCCUGAUUCUGAUGAUGUGCUACUGGCGGAGUUGCCGCAUGAGAUUGAAAAGUACAGGUGGUUGCGAAUCUCAGGAUUUGCGUGUCAGACUAUGACAUCCUUGCCGUCGAAGGCGGAAUCAUCUUUCCAGGAUAGGGCUAGUCGACGUAUAAAGUAAUUUGUGCCAUCAUCUUUGCCAUCCAUUUAUCUUUGUUAAGGAAUGUGAGAUGUUACUACUUACUAAUUCUGUAUGUUGUUUAGUAUUUGCAGAAGCAUUCUCAACUUUUCUUAUCUGUACUUUGUUUGGGCAGUAUUUACCCUGUCCUGAGAAUAGCAGAGAUAGGCAUGCCUAUUUCUACAGGAAAAUCAGCUUAACAUUCAUAUCUCAACUCCCUACACACUCUGACCAGACAUAAAAUUAAGCUUAGGUUAGCAAACCAAAAAAGGGCAUAUAUGGUUACCGUGUAGAGCAUGUGAGUAAAUGCACAUUGUUCAGUUCAUAUUCGAUUCCACUAGUUGCAUGGUGCAUGUUUUUUGUUGUUAGUUUCUUUGUAUGCUAGCAGAGUUCGAGUUCAAUAGUUCUUCAUAUUACGUAUUUGUUAUUCACCCUGGUACUGAAUUUCUUAAAAUACAUUGGUUCUAGUCUUGACUAUGAGCUGUUUUGCCAUGCUUAUAUCAGAGCUCAAAAGUAGAUGUCAUCAGCAAGUAGGCUAUACCUGUCAGUCUGAUUUAGCAUGUUAGAAUUGCUCACAACAUUUCUUUCGGCAUGUCAAUGAAAUGGCCCCUCCCGUUUUGAUGUUUAUUAUGUUUAUUGAAGUCCUCACCAUCUUUAUAUUCAUUACAUAUUCUCACUAGCUUAUUUCUUAAUACCUAAAGUGAAUACCAGGAGCUCAUUCUUACCUCUCCAACUUAUUCUUAUUUGAGUAUUAAGGGCACCUACAUUUCUUUGGUUCUGUAUGACUGAUCAAAUUAACACACACCUCAAUCAUAGUAAAAUCUGAAAGGAGAUGUAAAAGAAUCAAAGAAAAGUAGAGAUGCACAAUAUUUUUUGCUUUUGAGGGAUUGUUCUUGGGUUUAGCUUUUGCUGGCAUGUUAUUAUUACAGAGUUACCCUAUCUCUUUGAAUCGUCAUAUGUACUCCAGACUCUUAUAGAUUAUGCAACUAACUAAUGGUUGGAACUUUAAUACUUAGCUUUAUUUACAGGUAGCACAACCUCAUGUUAGGUGCCAUUUUAUUGCUACAGAUAUGGUGUUGUUUUGAUUGUAUAUGUGAUGAUUUUAUCCAUGUGUAUGUAUGUGGUCUUCAAAGUUGUUGAAAGAUUGAAAGCGCAAGCAAGCUCAUCAAAUUCCUUCGGUACUUCCAAAGAAAUCAAUAUCCAUCUGUCUAUGGAAAACUCGAAGAAGGCUCGACUGGCACAUGAAGCUCUUAAAUACUUGAGAGCCUUUUACAACAAGGUCCUACAGGACUACACCUAUGAUAGGUUGUAGUUGGUUGAACAAGGUCCUAUAAGACUACAUACAUAUAUUACACCGGUUGUCCCAGCUCAUAGUUGGUUGUCAUCAGUCCGGUUGGUUGAACAAGGUCCUAUAAGACUACAUACAUAUAUGGCUACAGAUAUGGUGUUGCCAUUUUAUUGCUACAGAUAUGGUGUUGUCCUGAUUGUAUACAUACAUAUAAUUCUGUAGUUUGUUCACGCCCGAAUAAUAUUAAUGUACACUCUUUCAA